CGUAUAUUAAAGUUGUUGCAGUUAAAAAGCUCGUAGUUGGAUUUCGGAAGGUCCUUAGCAGUCCGCCCCUUCGGGGAGCGGGCUGCUGGCCUCCUAUGUUCCUAACGGUCCUCAUCCGCGAGGGUGGGGAAUCAACCGCUAGGAUCGUUUACUUUGAGGAAAUUAGAGUGUUCAAAGCAGGCGUAACUCGCCUCCGAAUACGUUAGCAUGGGAUAAUGGAAUACGACUUCGGUCUUGUUUCGUUGGUUUCGCUUGGCUGAAGUAAUGAUUGAUAGGGACAGUUGGGGGCAUUAGUAUUUAGUUGUCAGAGGUGAAAUUCUAGGAUUUACUAAAGACUGACCAAUGCGAAAGCAUUUGCCAAGGAUGUUUUCAUUAAUCAAGAACGAAAGUAGGGGGAUCGAAGACGAUCAGAUACCGUCGUAGUCUCUACCGUAAACUAUGCCGACCAGGGAUCCGGAGAGUUUGCAUGGAUGACUCCCCGGGCACCUUGUGAGAAAUCAUAAGUGUUUGGGUUUUGGGGGGAGUAUGGUCGCAAGGCUGAAACUUAAAGGAAUUGACGGAAGGGCACCACCAGGAGUGGAACCUGCGGCUUAAUUUGACUCAACACGGGGAAACUUACGAGGUCAGGACACUGUGAGGAUUGACAGAU
rnacentral:rRNA from 1 species